GGAAAGAGCUCAGAUUCGAAGGUGAACGCCAGAGCCCAACGAUCCAAAUCAGAAAUCCCUUCUGGGCCCAUAAAGCGAACCUUGCACUGUGAUGCCCAAACCGUUAAUGAAAUUUUGAAGGAAAUGACCCAACCAUGGCUACCUCUUCUGACAGACAUUCCUGCUUCUCCUACUGCAGAGCCUUCUAAAUUUCCAUUCCCA